rnacentral:rRNA from 1 species
GACGAACGCUGGCGGCGUGCUUAACACAUGCAAGUCGAGCGGUAAGGCCCUUUCGGGGGUACACGAGCGGCGAACGGGUGAGUAACACGUGGGUGACCUGCCCUCAGCUCUGGGAUAAGCCUGGGAAACCGGUCUAAUACCGGAUAUGACUCCAUGACGCAUGUUGUGGGGUGAAAGCCUUGUGCGGCUGAGGAUGGGCCCCGCGGCCUAUCAGCUUGUUGGUGGGUGAUGCCGUACCAA